rnacentral:rRNA from 1 species
AUUGAACGCUGGCGGUAGGCCUAACACAUGCAAGUCGAGCGGAUGGAGGGAGCUUGCUCCUGGAUUCAGCGGCGGACGGGUGAGUAAUGCCUAGGAAUCUGCCUGGUAGUGGGGGAUAACGUCCGGAAACGGGCGCUAAUACCGCAUACGUCCUGAGGGAGAAAGUGGGGGAUCUUCGGACCUCACGCUAUCAGAUGAGCCUAGGUCGGAUUAGCUAGUUGGUGGGGUAAAGGCCUACCAAGGCGACGAUCCGUAACUGGUCUGAGAGGAUGAUCAGUCACACUGGAACUGAGACACGGUCCAGACUCCUACGGGAGGCAGCAGUGGGGAAUAUUGGACAAUGGGCGAAAGCCUGAUCCAGCCAUGCCGCGUGUGUGAAGAAGGUCUUCGGAUUGUAAAGCACUUUAAGUUGGGAGGAAGGGCAGUAAGUUAAUACCUUGCUGUUUUGACGUUACCAACAGAAUAAGCACCGGCUAACUUCGUG